rnacentral:rRNA from 1 species
GAUACCCUGGUAGUCCACGCAGUAAACGAUGAAUACUAAUUGUCCGCGUAGAUAGAUGCCUGGGUGAUACAGCGAAAGCGUUAAGUAUUCCACCUGGGGAGUACGCCGGCAACGGUGAAACUCAAAGGAAUUGACGGGGGCCCGCACAAGCGGAGGAACAUGUGGUUUAAUUCGAUGAUACGCGAGGAACCUUACCCGGGCUCAAACGCGGCGUGAAUACUUUUGAAAGGAGGUAGUCAGCAAUGACACGCCGCGAGGUGCUGCAUGGUUGUCGUCAGCUCGUGCCGUGAGGUGUCGGCUUAAGUGCCAUAACGAGCGCAACCCCUACCGUCAGUUGCCAGCAGGUUAGGCUGGGGACUCUGACGGGACUGCCGGCGCAAGCUGCGAGGAAGGCGGGGAUGACGUCAAAUCAGCACGGCCCUUACGUCCGGGGCGACACACGUGUUACAACGGCAGGUACAGCGGGAAGCCACCUGGCGACAGGGCGCGGAACCCCGAAAACCUGUCUCAGUUCGGAUGGGAGUCUGCAACCCGACUUCAUGAAGCUGGAUUCGCUAGUAAUCGCGCAUCA